UUGACUUAAUCGGUCCACUACCUGUC
rnacentral:sRNA from 1 species